AUGGUGCCCCCCACAGCUCCCACGUACCGCCUGCGCAAGCGGCGGGUGGCGAGGGAGCGCGGGGCCCUGCCCCAGGGGUGCCGGCUGGGGGCUGUGGGUGCUGGCGAGGCCGUGCUGCAGCGUGGGGACCUGCUGGAUGCUGACCGGGGUGGUGAGGUGCUCCUGGCCCGCAGGUCGCUGGACAGAAAGCUGCAGAGACCGCUCCUGGGGAAGUCCCGGACGCUGCCCAGCAUCCCGCAGUCCCCGGUCCUGAGCAGGCUUCCCCUCCUUGACUCCACGGCAUAUAGGGAGGAGAUGCCGGAGCAGAAGUCCUACAAGAAGCACUCGGCCUCUGAUGGCCAGAAGGGCUGCACGGUCCCAUCUGCCGGUGAGUGCCAGGGAGAGCUUUGUGCCCGUUCUGCCUGGGGGCCAGCAAAAUCUUACCCAACGUGUCCUUGUUCUGCAGGGGUGCGAACAGCAAGGUAAAUCCAAUCCCUGUCUGUAGGGGGUUUAUGCUGCCUCAAAAACAAAUGUUCUUGGUGAGAUUUAUUUUUUUUUUUUAUCCACUUCUGAGGCUUUCUUUGAGCCUGUUAUUUAAACCUUCCCACCUUUUAUUACACCGAUGAAAAAGCCGCAUGGGGCUGCAAGAGCCCUUGGCUCGGAGGUGAUGCUCGGAGCAUCAGAGCUGGGUCUCCUGGCCACAUGUGAACUGCUGCUCCGGGUUCCUCCGGCCUCCCCAACAGACCCAGGUGCCUUCCUUCUGCAGCAUCAAGUGGCUUCAGGGUGCCCGUUGCUGUCCCCAUGGGGAGCAGAGGCUGGGUGGCACCGCGUGGCUGUGCCGUUGUCCUGGCCCGCAGUGGGGGUUUGCUGUGGCAGAUGCUCCCAGCCUGGGAGCGUGUGUUGGCCUUCGUGUCAACAGAGGAUUUUUUACUGUGUUCUGCUCUUGUGCUGAUCCUGAUGAAAUACUAAUAUGGUUGGACCAGCUGCUCUGAGCAAGUUUAUUGGCAAAACUGUUGAUGGGCAAAGUGUUUCACGCUUCUGGUGCCAGCAGAAUCACGCUGGGGCCAUAAGAACGAUGGGGAAAGCGAUUAGCACUGAAACAGAGAUAAGGCUCGCCAGCCAGGGCUGACAAUCCAGUGCAAAAUAAAACCCUUAUAAAAUAGCUCCCGUCUACCA
rnacentral:lncRNA from 1 species